rnacentral:rRNA from 1 species
AUUGAACGCUGGCGGCAGGCCUAACACAUGCAAGUCGAACGGUAGCACAGAGAGCUUGCUCUCGGGUGACGAGUGGCGGACGGGUGAGUAAUGUCUGGGAAACUGCCUGAUGGAGGGGGAUAACUACUGGAAACGGUAGCUAAUACCGCAUAACGUCGCAAGACCAAAAGAGGGGGGGAACCUUCGGGCCGUCCUUGCCAUCAGAUGUGCCCACGAUGGGAUUAG